ACGAACGCUGGCGGCGUGCUUCACACAUGCAAGUCGCACGGAAAGGCUCCAGCUUGCUGGAGUACUCGAGUGGCGAACGGGUGAGUAACACGUGGGUAAUCUGCCCUGCACUCUGGGAUAAGCCUGGGAAACUGGGUCUAAUACUGGAUAUGACCUUUCUCCUUAUGGGGUUUGGUGGAAAGUUUUUCGGUGUAGGAUGAGCCCGCGGCCUAUCAGCUUGUUGGUGGGGUGAUGGCCUACCAAGGCGACGACGGGUAGCCGGCCUGAGAGGGUGAUCGGCCACAUUGGGACUGAGAUACGGCCCAGACUCCUACGGGAGGCAGCAGUGGGGAAUAUUGCACAAUGGGCGGAAGCCUGAUGCAGCGACGCCGCGUGAGGGAUGACGGCCUUCGGGUUGUAAACCUCUUUCAGCAGGGACGAAGCGUAAGUGACGGUACCUGCAGAAGAAGCACCGGCUAACUAUGUG
rnacentral:rRNA from 1 species